rnacentral:rRNA from 1 species
AUGCUGCCCAAAAAACAUUUAUCUGGUUUUCAGAAAAGAACAAAGAGGAAAAGAAUAAAUAAGUUCAUUGGAACUCAGAAGGGAGCUAUGCGUAAAUUUGCCGUGAGGAAUGACACUACUGAUAAUCUUGAUGAAUUAGAUGGCAAUGGUGCUGAAGAACAACAACCUGCUAAGAAUGAGACCACAAUUGAGGAAAACAAUGCCCAUGAGACUCCUAUAGAUUUGAGUGGCGGUGAGAAUCCUACAAGUGUUGAUGAACAAGGAUGUUCUCCUUUUGAUAUCUAUGAUCCUAGAAACUGGGACGCUCUUGACAAUAAAGCAAGAGAUAUUCUGAUUGAAAAGGGGCCUACAAGGGAAUACAAUCUUGUAUUCGAAACAGAUAAUAUUGGAAGGCAUUUUUCGUAUGCUUACUAUUCAAGAAAGCUUAGUAAUGGGGAGGUCGGUGAUUGGAAGUGGUUGGUGUACUCUAAACAUGUGAAUAAAGUUUACUGUUUUUGCUACAAAUUGUUCAAGUCUGAAAGUAGCAAAAGAUUACUAGCAUCUGAAGGACUAAUGGAGUGGAAGCAUCUAAGUGAGAAGCUCAAACUUCAUGAGAAUAGUGUUGAGCAUAUCACUAACAUGAAUACUUGGAAUGAGGUAAGACUGAGGAUAAGUUUUUCUUAA